GUACUACUGAGGAGUUUCACAACAGGACGAAACGGCUGUCCAAUAC
rnacentral:hammerhead_ribozyme from 1 species